GAUGAACGCUGGCGGCGUGCUUAAGACAUGCAAGUCGAACGCAAUCCGAGCAGCAAUGUCUGGGUUGAGUGGCGAAUGGGUGCGUAACACGUAGGUGACCUGCCCGGAAGUGGGGACUAACAGUCCGAAAGGACUGCUAAUACCGCCUGCGACCGUGGGAACGGGAGUUCCUGCGCUCAAAGGUCCGGUAACGGACCGCUGCCGGAGGGGCCUGCGGCCCACCAGCUAGUUGUUUGGGUAACGGCCACCCAAGGCGCCGACGGGUAGGGGACCUCAGAGGGUGGCCCCCCACACUGGCACUGACACACGGGCCAGACUCCUACGGGAGGCAGCAGUGGGGAAUAUUGGACAAUGGGCGAAAGCCUGAUCCAGCAACGCCGCGUGAGGGAUGACGGCCUUCGGGUUGUAAACCUCUUUCAGCAGGGACGAAGCGCAAGUGACGGUACCUGCAGAAGAAGCACCGGCCAACUACGUGCCAGCCGCCGCCGUAAUAC
rnacentral:rRNA from 1 species